GAGAACUGGUUUAGGUAAGCAGUCAUGUCAAUUCAUUCCUGGAGCUCCUGCACAUCACUGAAGCAGCUGCAGGGAAACUUAGCAGCUAUUCUUGUAUGAGCAGCAGCACUGCUGUGUCACAGAUCUGUCCUGCUGCCUCCUCAUUACCAGUGAUGAGUUCCACUAAUUAGUUCCCCUUGCUUCUGUUCCUCUGGCAGAUUCCAGAAGGGGUCCCCUGGGCCUGCCACAGCUGUGAACAGCCCUGUUUAGCUCAGGUGUGAGGAAUUCUCCUUGAGCUGCCCCUUAAUUUUGCCAGACUGGAGAUAUCAUUUGGCAUGCUCAUACUGCUUAAACCCCAUGAAGUUGCAUCAUGAUUUCCCCUUCUGUAGUG